rnacentral:lncRNA from 1 species
CUUUCGAUUUCGGUUGGUUUUCAGUCUCGUGGCUUACUCUUGGGCCUUCUUACAAUGAGCUCUUAAGCAACAUCAAAUUAACUUUCAAUAAUUUCAAACCUUUGUACUUUAAUUAUUUUAAUUUAUUAUUUAAGACACUUUCAUAAUUAAAAUCUGAAGAAAAAGAUUACCUGAAUGAAAUGUCCAGUCGUAAUCCCGAAUAUUAGGCCCAAGUUGUAAGAGCGUGCA